rnacentral:lncRNA from 1 species
AGUAAGAAGAAGGAAAGCACUUCAGGUAUAUUCGAUGUUUCUUCUCUAAUUUUUUGAUUUUAGAUCUACUCUUUAAAUUUAUUUCAGCAUGUUAUAAGAUCUGUAGGUGAUUUAUGAUUUAGAUGUGCAUGCUUCAUAUGAAAGAUAUUUUCAUACAUGCUUCCGCUAGGUUAAGUAAGCUAAAAAAAAAUUCAACAUGCCCUAAUGACCUAAAACUCCA